GCAUAGCUCAGUCGGUUAGAGGGUGAUGCUGUUAAAUGCCAAGGUUGCAGGUUCGAUCCCCGUAAGGGACAGCUGCA